AAAGGGAAGCACAAGGAAGAAGACUGGUAAUGCUGAGAUUUCAACAAUAAUUCCCAAAACAGCAUACAACACACACACUCAGUCUGCACAAGUUCCACUCUUCACAACAAAGAGAGAAGAGCGGAUGGCCUUCUUUUAGAUUCCAUGAACUACCAGGCUGGAGGCUUUUGUGGAUCCCUCAGGUCUGUAUUGCGACUGCUGGAGGGCUGCUGAGAAUUGUGGGGAGGAAGGAAGUGUAACAUCAUACAGAACAACAGA